rnacentral:rRNA from 1 species
GAUGAACGCUGGCGGCGUGCCUAAUACAUGCAAGUCGAGCGAACAGACGAGGAGCUUGCUCCUCUGACGUUAGCGGCGGACGGGUGAGUAACACGUGGAUAACCUACCUAUAAGACUGGGAUAACUUCGGGAAACCGGAGCUAAUACCGGAUAAUAUAUUGAACCGCAUGGUUCAAUAGUGAAAGACGGUUUUGCUGUCACUUAUAGAUGGAUCCGCGCCGCAUUAGCUAGUUGGUAAGGUAACGGCUUACCAAGGCAACGAUGCGUAGCCGACCUGAGAGGGUGAUCGGCCACACUGGAACUGAGACACGGUCCAGACUCCUACGGGAGGCAGCAGUAGGGAAUCUUCCGCAAUGGGCGAAAGCCUGACGGAGCAACGCCGCGUGAGUGAUGAAGAUCUUCGGAUCGUAAAACUCUGUUAUUAGGGAAGAACAAAUGUGUAAGUAACUAUGCACGUCUUGACGGUACCUGAUCAGAAAGCCACGGCUAACUACGUG